GACAGAGGUGCCGAGCGUUAGGCGGAAUCACUGGGCUUAAAGCGUGUGUAGGCGGAUGCCUAAGUACCUUGUGAAAUCCCACGGCUUAACCGUGGAACUGCUUGGUAUACUGGGUGUCUUGAGCCACUUAGGGGCGACCGGAACAAACGGUGGAGCGGUGAAAUGCGUAGAUAUCAAGAGGAACGCCUGCGGCGAGCGGUGCGUGGCUGACACUGACGCUGAAGCGCGAAGACCAGGGAGCGAACGGG
rnacentral:rRNA from 1 species